AAGUCGUAACAAGGUUUCCGUAGGUGAACCUGCGGAAGGAUCAUUGCAAAUCAAAGACUGGAAAUGAAGUAUGGUAAAGGGUUUGAGAGCAAUCUUGAGCAAUUUGUCAUUAUUUCAUUUUCAUAUACGCACAGCGUGCCUGGAUUAGAGGGUGCAAAUCCUCUUGUCUGUGCCGCUGAUGUUUACGCUUGUAUGUUUGACAAAUCUAUUACAUUUAAAUAUUCAAAACUUUUAACAACGGAUCUCUUGGCUCUU
rnacentral:misc_RNA from 1 species